ensembl:lncRNA
UAUCUUGUGUGUUCUACUAUACUAAUAGAACAAUAGUGUUCUGCUAUACUAAUAGAACAAUAGUGUUCUAUCUUGUGUGUUCUACUAUUCUACCUGGCAACAGUAAGUUGAGACCCCCGAGUUCCCUGAAAACAAAAGCAUUUGCUAGAAGGUAUGUAGCUGAAAAACAAACCCGUUCCAGGAUCUAUACUGAGAAAGACAUACAGUCCUAUAACAUGCUACUGUCCAAGGGCUGAUCAGUAUGUACUACCAGACAUCAGUUAGCGACAGGGUGUGUCCCACCAAACAGAAACAUCACAACAAACACUGGUGUGGCAAAAAAUACAAAAGAGAAUUUCUGCUUUGAAUGUUUUCCCAGGAAGAGUUGAGUUCAGGACAGGCCUAGAUGAGCAGCUAACUCUCAGAGGUCAUUUUUUUUAUACUAGGCAAGUUAGUUAAGUUAGUUAAGAACAAAUUCCUAUUUUCAAUGACGGCCUAGGAACAGUGGGGUUAACUGCCUGUUCAGGGGCAGAACGACAGAUUUGUACCUUGUCAGCUCGGGGAUUUGAACUUGCAACCUUCCGGUUACUAGUCCAACACUCUAACCACUAGGCUACCCUGCCUGCAAGAUAACUAGCUACAUUCUCUAACUUAGUAACUAGUUGGCACAACUUUACAAACACAGCCAAGUUAGCUAGAAACCACAAAAGCAGCACCAAACAUGUCAGCUGGCUGGCUGUUUGUAUGGAAAGCCUAUGUAUGACUAUAUAGACAAUAAAUAUAGUCAGUCAUCUAGAUAAAAACAGCUCUGAUGUGGUUUUACUUAGCUACCUAGCUAGUUACUUAGCUAGAUAUCUCCAGUUAACUAACUAGUCAACGUAGUUACAGUAGCUGAGACAACUUGCUACUAACUAACUAACUAACUCCCAUUUGAAGAUGACAGUUUUGGUCCUAAGUAACUGUAGCUAACUAGCUAGUAAACUAAACGUACCUCUGAUAUUAGUUCAUUUAACGUUAUAUGUUUUAUUGUCACAUACACCGGAUAGGCUUCGUGAAAAUGGGACGUUUUUUUUUACCGGGACACAACUCACACCACUUUGUCAUCCAAAAUGUAAUAUAACAAACCAAACCAAUACAAACGUUACCAGACAGUUGUUUUUGGGGUGAAGAAACGGGUCUUGGGGAACAUUUCAUGACGGUAACGACGAGUUGUUUACCAGACCUUUUGGUUUCCUGGUAGUUGGUAAACUAACGCGUUAGUGAAUAAACUGCUGUGUUUAACUACAAUGUGUUUUUAGAAACAACACCGUCCACAUAACAAACAGCCCCACAAGGGUCUGACUGGCAGCCUGUGUUUGACUUCUGACUUUAUUCAAAUCGAAGACGGCAGAUAUCCGGUUUAUUACUAAACAGGCGAGGACGAGUGCAGGUUGUAUUGGUGCGGAUGGAGGAACCGGGCACCGGGCAAUGAAUAUGAAGGUGCCGGUGGCUCUUUAAAAAACAAUUGAUAGUUACAGUUGCAACAACAACAACAAAUUACAACAAUAAUCAACUCACCGAAAAUCUUUUGGAGGGUGUGUCUUCUUGCGGCGGUAGGGUUCAUGUCGGCAUGUUGCGGAUGCAAUUUCAAGUCCUGUCGUACUCAGCACAUGUAA